UGAAGCUUAUCGAUACCGUCCUCAGAGCCGGGUGUUGGUUCCGGUAGAGAUCGAGGGAAAUUAGUACCGAAGUCUGAGAUGGAAGAUGGCGAGAAAAGCUGUGUGUAUUUCUGAGGUGCCCGUACCGCAAACCGACACAGGUAGGUAGGAAGAAGAUUCUAAGGCCAACGGGAGAAGGGUUGUUAAGGAACUCGGCAAGUUGACCCCGUAACUUCGGAAUAAGGGGUGCUCACGAGAGUGAGCCGCAGAGAAUAGGCCCAGGCAACUGUUUACCAAAAACACAGGUUUGUGCUAAAUCGAAAGAUGACGUAUACGAGCUGACGCCUGCCCGGUGCUGGAAGGUUAAGAGGAGAUGUGCAAGCAUUGAAUCGAAGCCCCAGUGAACGGCGGCCGUAACUAUAACGGUCCUAAGGUAGCGAAAUUCCUUGUCAGGUAAGUUCUGACCCGCAUGAAAGGCGUAAUGAUUUGGGCACUGUCUCAACAGCCCGCCCGGCGAAAUUGUAGUACCGGUGAAGAUGCCGGUUACCCGCGACAAGACGGAAAGACCCCAUGGAGCUUUACUGUAGCCUAAUAUUGGGUUUCGAUGUUGCAUGCACAGGAUAGAUGGGACACUGGGAAGCAGGUGCUUUGGCGCUUGUGGAGUGGCCGUUGGGAUACCAUCCUUGCGAUAUUGGAAUUCUAACCUGCGCCUUUGAAUCAAGGCGGGGGACAUUGUUAGGUGGGCAGUUUGACUGGGGCGGUCGCCUCCUAAAGAGUAACGGAGGCGUUCAAAGGUUCGCUCAGCUUGAACGGAAAUCAAGCAAAAGAGUGCAAACGCAGAAGCGAGCCUAACUGCGAGACUGACGGGUCGAGCAGUAACGAAAGUUGGAGUUAGUGAUCCGGUGGUAUGUGAGUGGAAAUGCCAUCGCUCAACGGAUAAAAGCUACCCUGGGGAUAACAGGCUGAUCUCCCCCAAGAGUCCACAUCGACGGGGAGGUUUGGCACCUCGAUGUCGGCUCAUCGCAUCCUGGGGCUGUAUUCGGUCCCAAGGGUUUGGCUGUUCGCCAAUUAAAGCGGUACGCGAGCUGGGUUCAGAACGUCGUGAGACAGUUCGGUCCCUAU
rnacentral:rRNA from 1 species